rnacentral:siRNA from 1 species
AGUGACCAAAAUAUAUUCAUCCCA